UGGCGAACGGGUGAGUAACACGUGGGCAAUCUGCCCUUCACUCUGGGACAAGCCCUGGAAACGGGGUCUAAUACCGGAUAUCACUCUGUCCCGCAUGGGGCGGGGUUGAAAGCUCCGGCGGUGAAGGAUGAGCCCGCGGCCUAUCAGCUUGUUGGUGGGGUAAUGGCCUACCAAGGCGACGACGGGUAGCCGGCCUGAGAGGGCGACCGGCCACACUGGGACUGAGACACGGCCCAGACUCCUACGGGAGGCAGCAGUGGGGAAUAUUGCACAAUGGGCGCAAGCCUGAUGCAGCGACGCCGCGUGAGGGAUGACGGCCUUCGGGUUGUAAACCUCUUUCAGCAGGGAAGAAGCGCAAGUGACGGUACCUGCAGAAGAAGCGCCGGCUAACUACGUGCCAGCAGCCGCGGUAAUACGUAGGGCGCAAGCGUUGUCCGGAAUUAUUGGGCGUAAAGAGCUCGUAGGCGGCUUGUCACGUCGGAUGUGAAAGCCCGGGGCUUAACCCCGGGUCUGCAUUCGAUACGGGCAGGCUAGAGUGUGGUAGGGGAGAUCGGAAUUCCUGGUGUAGCGGUGAAAUGCGCAGAUAUCAGGAGGAACACCGGUGGCGAAGGCGGAUCUCUGGGCCAUUACUGACGCUGAGGAGCGAAAGCGUGGGGAGCGAACAGGAUUAGAUACCCUGGUAGUCCACGCCGUAAACGUU
rnacentral:rRNA from 2 species